GAUUAAUCGAUCGGCGAGUUAGUCGUCGACGAGUCGCAGAGACAGGCGCAACGGCCAGCAACGUGCUCGUUAAUUACCAUCGCGCACUUGAUAGAUAGAUCGCACACGGCGAGAACAAGACGCGAUUUUUAUUCAAGAGGAACCGAUCCUGAAAAAAAAGAUACGAGAACGUACGCGUGUGUAUUCAGAUAUAAAUACGGAUGCGGACGAUGUCAGCGUAGCGCGCGUGCGCGAACAGAAAUUUUACGCUGACACAGCACGCAGCGAACGGGGGAGAAAAGCAGAAAGUAAAAUGCGAGGGUGGGAAAAAAGAAAAAAAUGGAGACUGAAGGGACAGGUGAGCGUCUCUAACGACACUUUCAUACUCGAGUCAGCUUCUUCGUCGCGAGCGCGCGAUUCCGCCGAUAAAACUUUCCUCAUGAAUAUUUUAUAAGUCGAUCCAAGUGAUACAACCCUCAACUGACGAUGCAUCAUUGCGGCCGCUUCGCCGGAUGCGGAUACUCUUGAUCGACAGCCGCUCAAUCCCUCCUCCAUCCCUGCCGUCCGUGAUCCAGGACGUCGUUACACGUGGACAUGCACCACUCCAACCCUCUACCCUCCGACCACGACCAGGCUUAACGUACGCGUACAUUAGGGCAUAUAAAUUGGGGUACUUAGUGCCGAUUACAAAUGCGUGUUCAUGGGAUACGCGGCGGAAACGAUCGACGGAGGAGCAGCUGCCUUGACAUCGGUUCUGCUACUGAAACUACAGCUUCUUCGGGGCGGGACGCAAAGGUUUCCCCGAUGAUAAACGCUCAUACAUAUUUUACGCCCUUAACCCUCCGCCGGCGACCGGGCGGGCGGUCUAUCGGACCCGGCGGCGGGUCUGUUUCUGAGAAUAUAUUCAUAUAAUCAGUUCAGUUUCGGGAGAAACGGGCUUUUGUAGGUCUCAUGAUGUUCCGCGUGCACCUAAAUCAAACGGAUUUAUGGCGCACGUGAAAUAUUCCGCGGAUGUAUAUAAAAUCCUAUUUCUUCGUCCACUCGUGCGUCAUAAGAGAGAAUGGAGAUGUAGACGGCCCAGCCGU